rnacentral:rRNA from 1 species
GGUUGAUCCUGCCGGAGGUUACUGCUAUCGGUGUUCGCCUAAGCCAUGCGAGUCAUAUGUAGCAGUACAUGGCGUACUGCUCAGUAACACGUGGAUAACCUGCCCUUGGGACCGGCAUAACCCCGGGAAACUGGGGAUAAUUCCGGAUAACGCAUAUUUGCUGGAAUGCUUUAUGCGUCAAAAGGAUUCGUCUGCCCAAGGAUGGGUCUGCGGCCUAUCAGGUAGUAGUGGGUGUAAUGUACCUACUAGCCAGCGACGGGUACGGGUUGUGAGAGCAAGAGCCCGGAGAUGGAUUCUGAGACAUGAAUCCAGGCCCUACGGGGCGCAGCAGGCGCGCAAACUUUACAAUGCGAGCAAUCGUGAUAAGGAAACCCUGAGUGCCUGUCGAUGCAGGCUGUUCAUAUAUCUAAAUCAUAUGUGAAGAAAGGGCAGGGCAAGACCGGUGCCAGCCGCCGCGGUAACACCGGCGGCCCGAGUGGUGAUCGUGAUUAUUGGGUCUAAAGGGUCCGUAGCCGGUUUGGUCAGUCCUC